rnacentral:lncRNA from 1 species
GAGGUGCCAAAACCUCACUAAGAUCAUCACACCUGGAAGAACUAGCAAGCAAACCCUGCAGAAUUCAAAUUCUCUUUCCAUCUGUAUGGCUCCUCAAGAUGCUGACGUGUGAAAUAAUCA